ensembl:snRNA U2 U2 spliceosomal RNA
AUAGCUUCUCAGCCUUUUGGCUAAGAUCAAGUGUAGUAUCUGUUCUUAUCAGCAUAAUGUCUGAUAUGUCCUCUAUCCAAGUACAAUAUAUUAUAUAGAUUUUUGGAGCUGGGAGAUGGAACAGGAGCUUGCUCUGUCCACUCCAUGCAUCGACCUGGUAUUGCAGUACCUCCAGGAACACUGCGCCCUUC